rnacentral:rRNA from 1 species
UACGAAGGGGGCUAGCGUUGCUCGGAAUGACUGGGCGUAAAGGGCGCGUAGGCGGAUGGCACAGUCAGAUGUGAAAUUCCCGGGCUUAACCUGGGGGCUGCAUUUGAUACGUGUUGUCUUGAGUUCGGAAGGGGGUCGUGGAAUUCCCAGUGUAGAGGUGAAAUUCGUAGAUAUUGGGAAGAACACCGGUGGCGAAGGCGGCGACCUGGUCCGACACUGACGCUGAGGCGCGAAAGCGUGGGGAGCAAACAGG